CUUUUAGUUGGGCAGCGAAACAACUCAAUGCUUUGGGUGCAUUGGUAAUUACAGCUAGUCAUAAUCCUGGUUCAUAUUUAGGGUUAAAAGUC
rnacentral:tRNA from 2 species